rnacentral:rRNA from 1 species
ACGCUCGACACCUAGGAGGCAGCAGUGGGGAAUAUUGCACAAUGGGGGAAACCCUGAUGCAGCGACGCCGCGUGGAGGAAGAAGGUCUUCGGAUUGUAAACUCCUGUUGUUGGGGAAAAAGAGGAUGGUACCCAACAAGGAAGUGACGGCUAACUACGUGCCAGCAGCCGACGGUAAUCUGAGGCGGGCUGGCAAGGC